UUUUUUAUUCGCUCCAAACACACCUCUAACCCUAUCUCUCUCUUCCUUUCCUUUUCUUGUGAAACCCUAGAGCGCCGCACCUCAAUUUUUUUCUUUCUCUUGCCAAAAAUGGGAACCGCACAGAGGGCUCAGGCUUUUCGCAAACCUUGUACAACCAGUAACGUGAAACAAUUAAUGUUUCAACAUCGUUUUCACUCAAACUCGUCCGAACACAGUGAAAGAGUCUUUAAAGCUGGACCAUAGCUUCAUGAGUCUGUGAAGGAAGUUAUGACAGGGUUGGAUGGUUGUGAAUCUGCCUAGGACCUCUAGUGUUGUCACUGGAUGAUUAGGGUGAGGACAUUAGGAUGGGGGAAAUGGUUUUAGGAGAGGAAAAGUUGAGCCUGGGCAUGAACGCUGUAUGAAACCUUUGGUUGGAAUCUUGUGGAACCUGUACUUGAAAAGUUGGAAAUGAAAUGUUUUAUCGAC